UUAGGGAUCACCUGGGGAUCUUAUUAAAAUGCAGAUUCUGAUGGGGUUUGGGGAGGAAGAGGAGGAUUUGCAAUUACUUGGAGCUCCCAGGUGAAGCUGAG
rnacentral:pre_miRNA from 1 species